GACGAACGCUGGCGGCGUGCCUAAUACAUGCAAGUCGAGCGCAGGAAAUCGACGGAACCCUUCGGGGGGAAGUCGACGGAAUGAGCGGCGGACGGGUGAGUAACACGUAAAGAGCCUGCCCUCAGGUCUGGGAUAACCACGAGAAGUCGGGGCUAAUACCGGAUGGGUCAUCGGACCGCAUGGUCCGAGGAUGAAAGGCGCUUCGGCGUCGCCUGGGGAUGGCUUUGCGGUGCAUUAGCUAGUUGGUGGGGUAAUGGCCCACCAAGGCGACGAUGCAUGGCCGACCUGGGAGGGGGUUCGGCCACACGGGGACUGAGCCACGGCCCAGACUCCUACGGGAGGCAGCAGAAGGGAAUCUUCCACAAUGGACGAAAGUCUGAUGGAGCAACGCCGCGUGAACGAUGAAGGCCUUCGGGUCGUAAAGUUCUGUUGUAAGGGAAGAACAAGUGCCGCAGGCAAUGGCGGCACCUUGACGGUACCUUGCGAGAAAGCCACGGCUAACUACGUGCCAGCCGCCGCCGUAA
rnacentral:rRNA from 1 species